CUUCUUGUUUGUCUGUGAACUAUGCAUGAAGGAGCUAUCCUGAGCCAUGAAUACUGAAAACACUUGAGUGCUUUUCCAUGUGUGAAAACCUUACCCUUUGAAAAAUCCAAGGCCCACCCUGGGCCACACAUGUCGAAUCUGAGCUCAGCUGUUAGGCAGCUCCUCACCUGCGCCAACAGCGAAAGCAAAAGUGGUUCGGCACAGACAUUGUUUAAAAUGGCUGCGUUAAAAAUACCAUCUCGGCUUCACAGAUUUCUGGAGCUGUGAGGAGCAUCCUCAUUUAUGUGCUCUGAUGAAGGACAGAUCUCAUAUAUCGCAGCAACAAAGAUGGCCCCCAGGAGUUCCAUGGACCCUUAUUUCUCAUCAUUUAGAAGGAGAAAGCACCUCUUUCCUCAGUUCCUCUCUUCAGGACUCCCAGUACCCCUGCUUCUGGUGACAGCCCAUGGCAGGUGGGGAGGACGUGCAGAUGGAAAGAAUGAGAAGGGCAGGUUUGGGCCCUCAUGGGUGACAGAAAAGUACCAGAGUUCUGGUUCCUCUUUGAACACACAUGUUCUCUGGGUUUCGCCUUGCAGCCCAAGAAGAGAGGAGGCUUGGAAUCACCACACUUCCCACAGCAAGGGCAAUCUUUAAAGGCAGUAAGGUGUGACGCUCCAGACUGGCAGCUUGGCAAGACAGAGCCCAUGGAUACCAGCACACGGGAAUCUGGACGGCUCACUCUGACAGCAGUCAGCACUGGGAACAAAAGGAAUGGAGGGAAAAAAGCGCAAAUGUAUUUUUACAUAUUGUAGGCAUAUGGCCACAAGACCAGCAGAAAUAUAUUUAAUUACCAAUUGCACGCAUUGAGGAGAAAAA
rnacentral:lncRNA from 1 species